UUUCUGCUUGUUUUGCACAGGAGUGUCUGCAUGAAUGAUUUGCUGGGAGCAGGUAUGUCCAAACAGGUGAGGAGUUCAAUUAUCUUUUCGGCCCCGAUGGCAGUGUCUUGAAUGGCAUAUGCGAGAGCGAUGUUGGUUGCUGAUGGAUUACGGCCUGGUCCCUCUUGAUGAAUCUCAUGAUACAGGUUGAAUGUCGGAGAGGUAUCUGCAGCUUUCUGACCGUGGCCGAAGAAUACACGAGGAUCCACUCUCCCCAUCACAGUCGGGAGUUAUGUAGGAUUGGCAGUCUAAACUUGGUCCUGUUACCAGGGCAUGGUCCCCAGCGGAUAGCCGGACAAAGGAGCGUUUACGAGUUGUCUCUUGGCCCUCUGAUGAAGCCUUGGAUCUGUUAGUAUUACCUUGCCGAAAAAACCUCCUGCUGGGCGGCUUCCUUUGGCGGAGUUCCCUCCCUUUGUUCCAUGGCCUUUGGUUUUUCUGAAACAUUUUGAUAACUUCUGGGCCCAUAACUCUGGUGUAAGGAGAAGGAUUUCAUCGAAACUUCUAGGAGACAUUGGAAAUACCCACAGGUGCCAACCUACCAAGUUUCAUCAAAAUCAAUAAAGGUAUGUGAAAUUAUUAGGUCACAUACCACUAUUUUUACCCCGUGCUCAUUGAUCAGUCAAGUAGUUCUAUUCUAAAAAUGUAUGUUUUUUUCCAAAAAUUCCCAGGGGUGCUAAAUGGGCGAAUUUGGCGCCUUUUAGGGCAUGGAUGGAAAGAAGAAGGUUUGAAAAAAAAUACUAGCUAAAAAUAAUUGGGAAAAUCGAUCUUUAAAGGC